rnacentral:rRNA from 1 species
UACGUAGGGGCCGAGCGUUGUCCGGAAUUACUGGGCGUAAAGCGCACGUAGGCGGCUUGGUAUGUCGGGUGUGAAAUCCCCGGGCUCAACCUGGGAACUGCAUCCGAAACUGCCUUGCUCGAGUAUGGGAGAGGGAAGUGGAAUUUCCGGUGUAGCGGUGAAAUGCGUAGAUAUCGGAAGGAACAUCAGUGGCGAAGGCGACUUCCUGGACCAAUACUGACGCUCAGGUGCGAAAGCGUGGGGAGCAAACAGG